rnacentral:lncRNA from 1 species
AAAAAAUAUAAAUAUAGAAUGUCAUUGGAAAGAUACAUUAAAACUGAGCAGUUGGCAAAAUAACAAAAUAUUUUGAACACAAAAAAAAAUUGAACAUUAUACUAAUAUUUAUUUUAAGUAUGAAUAUAAUUAAAAAAAAUAUGUGUAUUUACUAUUAAACAACUACAAAUUUUAGAAACUUGUAUCAAUAUUCUCGGUGAAAGACGUUCGUGUAUGUAUUUUUUAAGUAUUUUUCAAAUAUACACUAAUAUAUUUUUGUGUUCACAUAUAAAAAAUAUUAAUAUAACAAUAUAUACCCAUUUGAAAGAUUAUUUAUAAUAAUGUUUUCAGAGAUAUUUAUUAAAGUACAUGAUAUAUUUGUUUUACACAUGUAUAAAAAAGUCAACCAACUUAAUUUGAAAUGAGAACAUAAGAAAUUCUCAAGGACAAACCCUUGCAAUUGCGAAAAAGAAAACAAUUGAAAUGGGUCGUGGAGGAAGAAGGCAAGGGAAGAGGAAGAUACGGUCGUGGAAAUCGUGGUCGACGAGGUGGCUUUGGGUAAUCUCGGUUUGUCGAUAUGAGUUUUCAUCUCACCACACCCACUGCUUUCCAUCUGAGAAAUUAUAUUUCUGUUAAAAAAAAUUCUAAAAUCUACCAAAUAGACUUGAAAAUUUUAGUAUGUUAGGUCGUUAUCAAGUAGGUGGACCGACUUAAUUGACAUUUGGAGUACAUCUAACCAUACAAGAGGAUAGAAACUUUUAAUAGUAUUGUCUUUAUUCAUUAUACAAAGAACAUUGAGAAGAUAAACGU